GCCUAUGUAGCUCAGUCGGUAGAGCGUUAGGCCUUUAACCUAAAUGUCCAGCGUUAGACCCCAUGCGUGGGCG
rfam:Trichuris trichiura, WGS project CBXK01000000 data, contig: TTRE_2443